CACGUAGUUAGCCGUGGCUUAUUCAAGGGGUACCGUCUUCUGCUCUUCCCCCUUAAAAGAAGUUUACAACCCGAAAGCCUUCUUCCUUCGCGCGGCGUUGCUGGGUCAGACUUGCGUCCAUUGCCCAGUAUUCCCCACUGCUGCCUCCCGUAGGAGUCUGGGCCGUAUCUCAGUCCCAAUGUGGCCGGCCAACCUCUCAGUCCGGCUACUGAUCGUCGCCUUGGUGAGCCGUUACCUCACCAACUAGCUAAUCAGACGCGAGGCCAUCUUUCGGCGAUAAAAUCUUUGACAUGUCUGCGAUGCCACAGUCAUGUGUCAUGCGGUAUUAGCAGUCGUUUCCAACUGUUGUCCCCCUCGAAAGGCAGGUUCCUCACGCGUUACUCACCAGUCCGCCACUAAGCGUUCCCUUCCAUUGUCCGAAAACUCUUUCAGGGGCGCUCCGUUCGACUUGCAUGUGUUAAGCACGCCGCCAGCGUUCGUCCUGAGCCAGGAUCAAACUCU
rnacentral:rRNA from 1 species